UACAGAGGUCUCAAGCGUUGUUCGGAUUCAUUGGGCGUAAAGGGUGCGUAGGCGGCGCGGUAAGUCGGGUGUGAAAUCUCGGAGCUUAACUCCGAAACUGCAUUCGAUACUGCAGUGCUUGAGGACUGGAGAGGAGACUGGAAUUUACGGUGUAGCGGUGAAAUGCGUAGAUAUCGUAAGGAAGACCAGUGGCGAAGGCGGGUCUCUGGGACGGUACUGACGCUGAGACGCGAAAGCGUGGGGAGCGAACAGG
rnacentral:rRNA from 1 species